rnacentral:lncRNA from 1 species
GUAAGUGGGUACCAGCAUUCAUGCAUCAACACAGGAGGUUAGACUGAUAGGGAAAAAAUCUGCACCAGCCUUUUACAUACAGUAGGUGUGUUUCUCUUCUAGCUGCUCGGGUCUCACUGGCAAUCUGUAGAAAGAGCUGUGUUAGUGAUGUGUUUCGCCCUGCCAAUGGUGCAACUGUUAGGCAGUCGUUAAUAUUCCAUUCAUUUGCAAGGUGGGCUUUUGUGUGAGUGAGAGAGGUUUUUGUUGUUUGUGGGGUUGUUGUUUUGCAAGGAUCACCAGCUCCUCCUGGUGCAUCUGGGUACCAGGGAAGGAGAGCCUUGUGUGGGAACUAGAAGCUGGGGUUGGAUACUGAAGGAAACCAAGAUUAAGGUCGACAAAGGGGUCAGCAAAGGGCUUCUUAUUUCCCUGUUUUGCUUUACGGCAUGUAACUUGUGGGUGUGUGCCUGUGUAUUUUUCUACUCCCGACUUCUUUGCUUCUCAGGAUUUCAGAAUAAAAGAUCAGUUUAUCCAUCUGGGGUCUGUGAAAGACAUCUUCAAAUGCUCCCUUACACUUGCUGCUGUCUUUUCCGCAACUUUUCAGAGGGAGUGUAUGCAGACAGAACUGCACACAGACCAAUUGUAGAGCUAAAGUGAGUCUUUGGUUAGAUUUUGCUCACCGCUGAGCCACUAACUCCUCUCAGUUCCUCUCCCUGAUCUCCUGGUGUUUAACCUGCUUGUGCUUUCUCCUUUCAGACACAAUAAACAGGAAAACCAUCGCUUCAAUCUGCUGUUUUUCUCCCCUUGACAUGUGGCAGCAGCACAUUUUAUUUAUUCUUUUAAACCAAAGGUUUAAUUUCCUUAAUUUUUGGAGCUUUCAUUAUUUUUUUUCUCUGCCCUACUAAUUUUAUCCUUGCUACAUUGUUUUCUCUAGACCCAGAUUCACUUAAGUAUCUUAUUGUUUUAACAUCAGUGUUCUGUUCUAUUUCUCCUUUUCCCUCGUUCCCCCUCCUGGUGCCUUUUUAACGAAGCAGGGCAGAAGCAGUUAAGCAGAGCUGGCAAAGCCCUUCUAAUGAAACAGGAUGUAAAGCUAGGGGCCCUCUCUCUCCACUCCUCUCCUCCUCUGAGACAUCUCCUUCCCGAACGGACAUGGAAUUUUAGGCACACCAGAAAAUGGCAAAAUGUGAACUUUUGAAAAAGUGAAACAAACAAACAAAUAAAGACAAGCCGCAUUGU